rnacentral:rRNA from 1 species
CCGAACUGAAGCCCCGGUGAACGGCGGCCGUAACUAUAACGGUCCUAAGGUAGCGAAAUUCCUUGUCGGGUAAGUUCCGACCCGCACGAAAGGUGUCACGAGUUGGGCACUGUCUCGAGGGGGGGCUCGGCGAAAUUGCAGGACCCGUGAAGAUGCGGGUUACCCGCUGCAGGACAAAAAGACCCCGUGGAGCUUUACUGUAGCUUGGCGUUGAAGGCGGGCCAGGGAUGCGUAGGAUAGGUGGGAGGCUUUGAAGCCCCAAUCCCGGUUGGGGUGGAGCCAACCUUGAAAUACCACUCUUCCCUAGUCUUCCUCCUAACUCCGCUUAUAGCGGAAGACAGCGCCUGGUGGGCAGUUUGACUGGGGCGGUCGCCUCCCAAAAGGUAACGGAGGCGCCCAAAGGUCCCCUCAGGCUGGAUGGAAAUCAGCCGUCGAGCGCAUUGGUAUAAGGGGGCUUGACUGCGAGGCCAACAAGCCGAGCAGGGGCGAAAGCCGGGCAAAGUGAUCCUACGGUUCCGUGUGGAAGGGCCGUGGCUUAACGGAUAAAAGCUACCCCGGGGAUAACAGGCUGAUCUCCCCCAAGCGUUCACAGCGACGGGGAGGUUUGGCACCUCGAUGUCGGCUCGUCGCAUCCUGGGGCUGAAGUAGGUCCCAAGGGUUGGGCUGUUCGCCCAUUAAAGCGGCACGCGAGCUGGGUUCAGAACGUCGUGAGACAGUUCGGCCUUUAUCUUCCACGAUCGAAGGAAAUUUGAGGGAAUCUGUUCCUAGUACGAGAGGACCGGAAUGGACGAACCUCUGGUGUAUCUGUUGUCGCGUCAGCGGCAUCGCAGAGUAGCUAUGUUCGGAAGGGAUAACCGCUGAAAGCAUCUAAGCGGGAAGCCCAUCCCAAGAAAGAUUUCCCUAUAGUCUCCCGGUAGAUUACCGGGUUGAUAGGCCAAAGGUGUAAGCACAGCGAUGUGUUCAGCCGAUUGGUACUAAUAGACAAUUGAACUUAUUAU